CGCGUGAGUGAAGAAGGGUUUCGGCUCGUAAAACUCUGUUGUUAAAGAAGAACAUAUCUGAGAGUAACUGUUCAGGUAUUGACGGUAUUUAACCAGAAAGCCACGGCUAACUACGUGGCCAGCAGCCGCGGUAAUACGUAGGUGGCAAGCGUUGUCCGGAAUUUAUUGGGCGUAAAGCGAGCGCAGGCGGUUUUUUAAGUCUGAUGUGAAAGCCUUUCGGCUCAACCGAAGAAGUGCAUCGGAAACUGGGAAACUUGAGUGCAGAAGAGGACAGUGGAACUCCAUGUGUAGCGGUGAAAUGCGUAGAUAUAUGGAAGAACACCAGUGGCGAAGGCGGCUGUCUGGUCUGUAACUGACGCUGAGGCUCGAAAGUAUGGUGUAGCAAACAGGAUUAGAUACCCUGGUAGUCCAUACCGUAAACGAUGAAUGCUAAGUGUUGGAGGGUUUCCGCCCUUCAGUGCUGCAGCUAACGCAUUAAGCAUUCCGCCUGGGGAGUACGGCCGCAAGGCUGAAACUCAAAGGAAUUGACGGGGGCCCGCACAAGCGGUGGAGCAUGUGGUUUAAUUUGAAGCUACGCGAAGAACCUUACCAGGUCUUGACAUACUAUGCAAAUCUAAGAGAUUAGACGUUCCCUUCGGGGACAUGGAUACAGGUGGUGCAUGGUUGUCGUCAGCUCGUGUCGUGAGAUGUUGGGUUAAGUCCCGCAACGAGCGCAACCCUUAUUAUCAGUUGCCAGCAUUAAGUUGGGCACUCUGGUGAGACUGCCGGUGACAAACCGGAGGAAGGUGGGGAUGACGUCAAAUCAUCAUGCCCCUUAUGACCUGGGCUACACACGUGCUACAAUGGAUGGUACAACGAGUUGCGAACUCGCGAGAGUAAGCUAAUCUCUUAAAGCCAUUCUCAGUUCGGAUUGUAGGCUGCAACUCGCCUACAUGAAGUCGGAAUCGCUAGUAAUCGCGGAUCAGCAUGCCGCGGUGAAUACGUUCCCGGGCCUUGUACACACCGCCCGUCACACCAUGAGAGUUUGUAACACCCAAAGUCGGUGGGGUAACCUUUUAGGAACCAGCCGCCUAAGGUGGGACAGAUGAUUAGGGUGAAGUC
rnacentral:rRNA from 2 species